rnacentral:rRNA from 1 species
UACGUAGGGUGCGAGCGUUGUCCGGAAUUAUUGGGCGUAAAGAGCUUGUAGGCGGUUUGUCGCGUCUGCUGUGAAAAUCCGGGGCUCAACCCCGGACUUGCAGUGGGUACGGGCAGACUAGAGUGUGGUAGGGGAGACUGGAAUUCCUGGUGUAGCGGUGAAAUGCGCAGAUAUCAGGAGGAACACCGAUGGCGAAGGCAGGUCUCUGGGCCACUACUGACGCUGAGAAGCGAAAGAGUGGGGAGCGAACAGG